CAAAUGAUAAUGAAGGAGGACUGCUAGCCCCUAAAGCUUAUACUAUUCUCUCUCUCUUUAUUUUCUCGUGUUCCUUCUGUUGAAGAGCAUAGGGUCAAAACAUAAAAGACUUUCCCACCUUCCCGAGCAUUAAACUAAU